CUUGUUCAAACAGGGAGACAUAUAGUUCAUCAUUUGGUGUACUUGCUUCUAAAAUUGGUAUUGAUUCUACCGGUGGCAACAGGUAAUGUUGAGAGAGCAUUUUCUGCCAUGAGUAUAGUCAAGAGCAAGUUGAGAAAUAAGAUGGGUGAUAGUCUUUUGGAUGAUUGCCUAGUCACAUACAUUGAGAGGGAUGCUUUUGCCGAAGUGAAGGAAGAUUAUAUAAUUGAUACUUUCAUGGCAAUGCAAAAGCAUAGGCCACAAAUAUAG
rnacentral:rRNA from 1 species